rnacentral:rRNA from 1 species
AACUGACAUUGAGGCUCGAAAGUGUGGGUAUCAAACAGGAUUAGAUACCCUGGUAGUCCACACGGUAAACGAUGAAUACUCGCUGUUUGCGAUAUACGGCAAGCGGCCAAGCGAAAGCGUUAAGUAUUCCACCUGGGGAGUACGCCGGCAACGGUGAAACUCAAAGGAAUUGACGGGGGCCCGCACAAGCGGAGGAACAUGUGGUUUAAUUCGAUGAUACGCGAGGAACCUUACCCGGGCUUAAAUUGCAGAUGAAUUACGGUGAAAGCCGUAAGCCGCAAGGCAUCUGUGAAGGUGCUGCAUGGUUGUCGUCAGCUCGUGCCGUGAGGUGUCGGCUUAAGUGCCAUAACGAGCGCAACCCUUGUUGUCAGUUACUAACAGGUUUUGCUGAGGACUCUGACAAGACUGCCAUCGUAAGAUGUGAGGAAGGUGGGGAUGACGUCAAAUCAGCACGGCCCUUACGUCCGGGGCUACACACGUGUUACAAUGGGGGGUACAGAGGGCCGCUACCACGCGAGUGGAUGCCAAUCCCCAAAACCUCUCUCAGUUCGGACUGGAGUCUGCAACCCGACUCCACGAAGCUGGAUUCGCUAGUAAUCGCGCAUCAGCCACGGCGCGGUGAAUACGUUCCCGGGCCUUGUACACACCGCCCGUCAAGCCAUGGGAGCCGGGGGUACCUGAAGUGCGUAACCGCGAGGAGCGCCCUAGGGUAAAACUGGUGACUGGGGAUAAGU